AACGCACAUUGCGCCCCUUGGUAUUCCGAGGGGCAUGCCUGUUCGAGCGUCAUUACAACCCUCAAGCACUGCUUGGUAUUGGGCCCCGCUAGUAACCCAGCGAGCCUUAAAAUUAGUGGCGGUGCCGUCGGGCCCUGAGCGUAGUAAAUCUCCUCGCUAUAGGGUCCCGGUGGACGCUGGCCAUCAACCCCCCCUCUCUCUAAGUUUGACCUCGGAUCAGGUAGGGAUACCCGCUGAACUUAA
rnacentral:misc_RNA from 1 species